rnacentral:rRNA from 1 species
AACGAACGCUGGCGGCAGGCUUAACACAUGCAAGUCGAACGCGUGUAGCAAUACACGAGUGGCGCACGGGUGAGUAACGCGUGGAUAUCUGCCUUUUGGUUCGGAAUAACCCCGGGAAGCUGGGGCUAAUACCGGAUGGUUCCUUCGGGAUAAAGAUUUAUCGCCAAAAGAUGAGUCCGCGUCCGAUUAGCUAGUUGGUGAGGUAAUGGCUCACCAAGGCGACGAUCGGUAGCUGGUCUGAGAGGACGAUCAGCCACACUGGGACUGAGACACGGCCCAGACUCCUACGGGAGGCAGCAGUGGGGAAUAUUGGACAAUGGGGGCAACCCUGAUCCAGCCAUGCCGCGUGAGUGAUGAAGGCCUUCGGGUUGUAAAGCUCUUUUGGCGGGGACGAUGAUGACGGUACCCGCAGAAUAAGCCCCGGCUAACUUCGUGCCAGCCGCCGCUGUAA